GACGAACCGUCCAAACGUUAUUCGGAAUUAUUGGGCUUAAAGGGUGCGUAGGCUGUGCAGUAAGUUGGGUGUGAAAUCCCUCGCUCAACCGAGGAACUGCGCCGAAUACUGCUGUGCUAGAGGGAGAUAGGGGUAAGCGGAACUGAUGGUGGAGCGGUGAAAUGCGUUGAUAUCAUCAGGAACACCGGUGGCGAAGGCGGCUUACUGGAUCUCUUCUGACGCUGAGGUGGCGAAAGCGUGGGGAGCAAACAGG
rnacentral:rRNA from 1 species